UGGGGAAUAUUGGACAAUGGGGGAAACCCUGAUCCAGCGACGCCGCGUGUGUGAAGAAGGCCUGCGGGUUGUAAAGCACUUUCGGUGGGAACGAAAUAUGCCGGGCUAAUACCCCGGUAGGCUGACGUUACUCAAUGAAGAAGCACCGGCUAACUCUGUGCCAGCAGCCGCGGUAAUACAGAGGGUGCGAGCGUUAAUCGGAAUUACUGGGCGUAAAGCGCACGUAGGUGGCGACGUAAGUCGGGUGUGAAAUCCCCGGGCUCAACCUGGGAACCGCAUUCGAGACUGUGUUGCUGGAGUACGGAAGAGGAGGCGGAAUUCCCGGUGUAGCGGUGAAAUGCGUAGAUAUCGGGAGGAACAUCAGUGGCGAAGGCGGCCCUCUGGUCCAGUACUGACACUCAAGUGCGAAAGCGUGGGGAGCAAACAGGAUUAGAUACCCGUGUAGUCCCUGAGCGGGCUGGCAAGGCGCAU
rnacentral:rRNA from 1 species